rnacentral:tRNA from 1 species
GCCCAGGUGGUGGAAUUGGUAGACACGCAGGACUUAAAAUCCUGUGACCAUUAUGGUCGUGCGGGUUCAAGUCCCGCCCCGGGUA